AGAGUAUCGCUUUGUUGCCCAGGCUGGAGUACUGUGGUGCGAUCUCGGCUCACUGCAAGCUCCGCCUCGCGGGUUCACGCCAUUCUCCUGCCUCAGUCUCCCGAGUAGCUGGGACUACAGGCGCCCGCCACCACGCCCGGCUAAUUUUUUUUGUAUUUUUAGUAGAGACGGGGUUUCACCGUGUUAGCCAGGAUGGUCGCGAUCUCCUGACCUCAUGAUCUGCCUGCCUCGGCCUCCCAAAGUGCUGGGAUUACAGCCGUGAGCCACUGCGCCCGGCCAGUUUAAGUUUUAUAAAUGAUAUCAAUUAGAAUUCUGUAACCACCAGUGGACACUGGCUGUUUUUUAUCUUUCUUCCAAGGUUACUAAUUUUGCUCAAUUGCAAUAUAUAUGUGUGAAAUACAAAUAAAUUAUAAAAAUUUAAACCGUUGAUUUUCAAUGUUUUCUCCACCAUACUGAGAAUAUGCCUAGAACUACCCGAAGAACAAGUUUCCAGAGAAAGCCUAUUCUGGAAAAUGGGCAUAAUUUGGAGAUGAUCAAGGCAAGGGGUAUACUUUGGAGAUUAAAUUCUCCACACCAUAGCUCCAUGGAAGCAUCAUCUAUGUUCUGAGCCUUUAUCUCCCGUGCCUAGGACAGUGCGUGGUGUAGUAGGAACUCAGAUAUUUCAAUUGUUUGUUUGUGGGCUUUCUUUUCAGUCUUAAACUCCUCAGCCUUUUUUCACCCUCUAUUUUUUAAGGUUCCUUUUCCUCUGGCAACGAAAGUAAGUCUCUAGGUUGGGCUGCUUUGAGUCGAGUGUGGAGCCAAGCUGUCUCAACUUCCUUUCUCUCCAGCUCCACUCUAGGGAGCAGGGCAUAGAAACAUAUCCUAUCACAAUAUGGAGUACAUGGCUCUAAGAAGCUGAAAAAAUACGUUUAAAGGCCAUUGUGAGACCUGGGAACAGUAAAAAGCAUGUGAAUUCAGAGAAACUAUUUUUACAUUGCAAUAAGUUCUUUUUUGAAGCUUAUUUAUCGAGACAUAUGCCAACAGCACGGAAUUAUAUGAGUGAUGUGAAUUAAACCUUACACAA
rnacentral:lncRNA from 1 species